CGGGGGGGGCAAGCGUUGUUCGGAAUUACUGGGCGUAAAGGGCUCGUAGGCGGCCAUCUAAGUCAGACGUGAAAUCCCUCGGCUUAACCGGGGAACUGCGUCUGAUACUGGAUGGCUUGAGUUUGGGAGAGGGAUGCGGAAUUCCAGGUGUAGCGGUGAAAUGCGUAGAUAUCUGGAGGAACACCGGUGGCGAAGGCGGCAUCCUGGACCAAUACUGACGCUGAGUGAGCGAAAGCCAGGGGAGCAAACGGGAUUAGAUACCCCGGUAGUCCUGGCCCUAAACGAUGAAUGCUUGGUGUGACGGGUAUCGAUCCCUGUCGUGCCGAAGCUAACGCAUUAAGCAUUCCGCCUGGGGAGUACGGUCGCAAGGCUG
rnacentral:rRNA from 1 species